rfam:Ictidomys tridecemlineatus contig017573, whole genome shotgun sequence.
UGGGUUGUGGCUCAGUGGUAGAGCACUCACCUUGCACAUGUGAGGUUCUGGGUUCAAUCCUCAACACCACAU